rnacentral:rRNA from 1 species
UACGUAGGGGGCAAGCGUUGUCCGGAAUCAUUGGGCGUAAAGCGCGUGUAGGCGGUCCGGUUAGUCGGCUGUGAAAACCUGCAGCUUAACUGUGGGCGUGCGGUCGAUACGGGCAUCACUGGAGUUCGGCAGGGGAGACUGGAAUUCCUGGUGUAGCGGUGAAAUGCGCAGAUAUCAGGAGGAACACCGGUGGCGAAGGCGGGUCUCUGGGCCGAUACUGACGCUGAGGAGCGAAAGCGUGGGGAGCAAACAGG